rnacentral:rRNA from 1 species
UACGGGAGGCAGCAGUGGGGAAUAUUGCACAAUGGGCGAAAGCCUGAUGCAGCUAUGCCGCGUGUAUGAAGAAGGCCUUAGGGUUGUAAAGUACUUUCAUCGGGGAGGAAAAACAAAACUAAUAAUUUUAUUUCUUGACGUUACCCGAAAAAGAAGCACCGGCUAACUCCGUGCCAGCAGCCGCGGUAAUACGGAGGGUGCUAGCGUUAAUCAGAAUUACUGGGCGUAAAGAGCACGUAGGUGGUUUUUUUAAGUCAGAUGUGAAAUCCCUGGGCUUAACCUGGAACUGCAUUUUGAAACUGAAAUACUAGAGUAUCGUAGAGGGAGGUAGAAUUCUAGGUGUAGCGGUGAAAUGCGUAGAUAUCUGGAGGAAUACCUGUGGCGAAAGUGGCCUCCUAAACGAAUACUGACACUGAGGUGCGAAAGCGUGGGGAGCAAAC